AAGCUUCGGCAGAUUUAGCUGGUUUCUAGUGGCGGACGGGUGAGUAACGCGUGGGUAACCUGCCUUAUACAGGGGAUAACAGUCAGAAAUGGCUGCUAAUACCGCAUAAGCGCACAGAGCUGCAUGGCUCAGUGUGAAAACUCCGGUGGUAUAAGAUGGACCCGUGUUGGAUUAGCUAGUUGGUGAGGUAACGGCCCACCAAGGCGACGAUCCAUAGCCGACCUGAGAGGGUGUCCGGCCACAUUGGGACUGAGACACGGCCCAAACUCC
rnacentral:rRNA from 1 species